rnacentral:rRNA from 1 species
CCACGGGCGGCAGCAGUGAGGAAUAUUGGUCAAUGGCCGGAAGGCUGAACCAGCCAAGCCGCGUGAGGGAGGAAGGCGCAGAGCGUCGCAGACCUCUUUUGCCGGGGGACAAAAGGCCGGACUCGUCCGGUCCUGAGGGUACCCGGAGAAAAAGCAUAGGCUAACCGCGUGCCAGCAGCCGCGGUACUACGGGGGAUGCGAGCGUUAUCCGGAUUUAGUGGGUUUAAAGGGUGCGUCGGCGGGCUGUUACGUAAUCGGUAAAAUGUCGGGGCUCAACCCCGGCCUGCCGUUGAUACUGGCGGCUUCGAGAGGGCGAGAAGUAUGCGGAAUGAGUGGUGUAGCGGUGAAAUGCAUAGAUAUCACGAAGAACUCCGAUUGCGAAGGCAGCAUACCGGCGCCCGACUGACGCUGAGGCACGAAAGCGUGGGUAUCGAACAGGAUUAGAUACCCCUGUAGUC